GUUAUUACAUCUCAGAACCCUACCUGUUAUAGGAGACAGAAAAAAUCUCAAUUGUGGGAACAUCAUGCCAAAUUAUAUUUUACAAAUUUGAUACAGACCUACAAUCUGCCUUUUAGGAAGCGCACUCUUCUGAACACCAGUCAC